CAAUAAACAUAAUGUUUAUGAAGCACCUAUCAGAGAUCAUGCUGGAAAUAUCCUGUAAAUAAAUCAUCUCUUUUGAUCUUCACAACAGUCCUACAAGGAUAUCACAAAUCAUCUAUUGAGCUUAAAAAAUAAAAAGAAACAUCUGCCAAAAGAAAUGGGCCUAUGGAAUAUUUUAGUAGAAAAUAUGAAGACAAGAUAUUAAAAGCAAGGAAAUUACUACAAAGGGAAGGAACCACAAGAUGACAGCACGGAAUUAGUUAAUGAGUUGGAGUGAAUAAAUCAAUUAAAGGAAACACAUUUUCUGAAUUAAUGAUUAUUAUAUUGUGAUUGAACAACCGAUGAAUUUAAAUACAGACACAAACACACAAUUUCUCUCUCUCUAUAUAUAUAUAUA